UACGAAGGGGGCUAGCGUUGCUCGGAAUCACUGGGCGUAAAGCGCGCGCAGGCGGCUUAGCAAGUCAGGGGUGAAAGCCCGGGGCUCAACCUCGGAACUGCCUUUGAUACUGGGGAUAUCGAGUCCGGGAGAGGUGAGUGGAACUGCGAGUGUAGAGGUGAAAUUCGUAGAUAUUCGCAAGAACACCAGUGGCGAAGGCGGCUCACUGGCCCGGUACUGACGCUGAGGUGCGAAAGCGUGGGGAGCAAACAGG
rnacentral:rRNA from 1 species